rnacentral:rRNA from 1 species
AGAUACGCGAAGAACCUUACCUGGGCUUGAUAUCCUAAGAACCUUAUAGAGAUAUGAGGGUGCUAGCUUGCUAGAACUUAGAGACAGGUGCUGCACGGCUGUCGUCAGCUCGUGUCGUGAGAUGUUGGGUUAAGUCCCGCAACGAGCGCAACCCACGUAUUUAGUUGCUAACGGUUCGGCCGAGCACUCUAAAUAGACUGCCUUCGUAAGGAGGAGGAAGGUGUGGACGACGUCAAGUCAUCAUGGCCCUUAUGCCCAGGGCGACACACGUGCUACAAUGGCAUAUACAAUGAGACGCAAUACCGCGAGGUGGAGCAAAUCUAUAAAAUAUGUCCCAGUUCGGAUUGUUCUCUGCAACUCGAGAGCAUGAAGCCGGAAUCGCUAGUAAUCGUAGAUCAGCCAUGCUACGGUGAAUACGUUCCCGGGUCUUGUACUCACCGCCCGUCACACCAUGGGAGUUGAUUUCACUCGAAGCCGGAAUACUAAACUAGUUACCGUCCACAGUGGAAUCAGCGACUGGGGUGAAGUCGUAACAAGGUAACCGUAGGAGAACCUGCGGUUGGAUCACCUCCUUUCUA